rnacentral:rRNA from 1 species
CAUGUAGGCGGAUUAAUAAGUUUGAAGUGAAAUCCUAUAGCUUAACUAUAGAAACUGCUUUGAAAACUGUUAAUCUAGAAUGUGGGAGAGGUAGAUGGAAUUUCUGGUGUAGGGUAAAAUCCGUAGAGAUCAGAAGGAAUACCGAUUGCGAAGGCGAUCUACUGGAACAUUAUUGACGCUGAGAUGCGAAAGCGUGGGAGCAAACA